GUCUACGGCCAUGACACCCUGAACAUGCCCGAUCUUGUCUGAUCUCGGAAGCUAAGCAGGGUCGGGCCUGGUUAGUAUUUGGAUGGGAGACCACCUAGGAAGACCAGGUGCUAUAGGCG
rnacentral:rRNA from 1 species